rnacentral:rRNA from 2 species
AGACCCGAAACCCGGUGAUCUAGCCAUGGGCAGGUUGAAGGUUGGGUAACACUAACUGGAGGACCGAACCGACUAAUGUUGAAAAAUUAGCGGAUGACCUGUGGCUGGGGGUGAAAGGCCAAUCAAACCGGGAGAUAGCUGGUUCUCCCCGAAAGCUAUUUAGGUAGCGCCUCGUGAAUUCAUCUCCGGGGGUAGAGCACUGUUUCGGCUAGGGGGCCAUCCCGGCUUACCAACCCGAUGCAAACUGCGAAUACCGGAGAAUGUUAUCACGGGAGACACACGGCGGGUGCUAACGUCCGUCGUGAAGAGGGAAACAACCCAGACCGCCAGCUAAGGUCCCAAAGUCAUGGUUAAGUGGGAAACGAUGUGGGAAGGCCCAGACAGCCAGGAUGUUGGCUUAGAAGCAGCCAUCAUUUAAAGAAAGCGUAAUAGCUCACUGGUCGAGUCGGCCUGCGCGGAAGAUGUAACGGGGCUAAACCAUGCACCGAAGCUGCGGCAGCGAACGUAUCACCCAAGACAACUUUACGGAGUUGACGAUUGACGGAGCGAAGCGACGUCAAAGCGUUCAUUAAAGUCGAGUUGGCUUAGGGAUACGUUCGUUGGGUAGGGGAGCGUUCUGUAAGCCUGUGAAGGUGUGUCGUGAGGCAUGCUGGAGGUAUCAGAAGUGCGAAUGCUGACAUAAGUAACGAUAAAGCGGGUGAAAAGCCCGCUCGCCGGAAGACCAAGGGUUCCUGUCCAACGUUAAUCGGGGCAGGGUGAGUCGACCCCUAAGGCGAGGCCGAAAGGCGUAGUCGAUGGGAAACGGGUUAAUAUUCCCGUACUUGGUGUUACUGCGAAGGGGGGACGGAGAAGGCUAUGUUGGCCGGGCGACGGUUGUCCCGGUUUAAGCGUGUAGGUGUGUGUUCCAGGUAAAUCCGGUUCACUUUAACACUGAGGCGUGACGACGAGGCACUACGGUGCUGAAGCAACAAAUGCCCUGCUUCCAGGAAAAGCCUCUAAGCAUCAGGUAACACGAAAUCGUACCCCAAACCGACACAGGUGGUCAGGUAGAGAAUACCAAGGCGCUUGAGAGAACUCGGGUGAAGGA